GCAUUGGUGAUUCAGUGGUAGAAUUCUUGUCUUCCAUGUGGGAUACCUGAGUUCAAUUCCCAGGCAAUACA
rnacentral:tRNA from 1 species